GCUUGUCUCAAAGAUUAAGCCAUGCAUGUCUAAGUAUAAACAAAUCUAUACUGUGAAACUGCGAAUGGCUCAUUAAAUCAGUUAUCGUUUAUUUGAUGAUCUCUUACUACUUGGAUAACCGUAGUAAUUCUAGAGCUAAUACAUGCAUCAAACCCCGACUCACGAAGGGGUGUAUUUAUUAGAUGGAAACCAAUGCGGGGCAACCCGGUAUAUGGUGAUUCAUAAUAACUUUCGGAUCGAUCUUCGGAUCGAUGCAUCAUUCAAGUUUCUGCCCUAUCAGCUUUGGAUGGUAGGGUAUUGGCCUACCAUGGCUUUAACGGGUAACGGAGAAUUAGGGUUCGAUUCCGGAGAGGGAGCCUGAGAAAUGGCUACCACAUCCAAGGAAGGCAGCAGG
rnacentral:rRNA from 1 species